rnacentral:rRNA from 1 species
AGAGUUUGAUCAUGGCUCAGAUUGAACGCUGGCGGCAGGCCUAACACAUGCAAGUCGAACGGUAACAGGAAGCAGCUUGCUGCUUUGCUGACGAGUGGCGGACGGGUGAGUAAUGUCUGGGAAACUGCCUGAUGGAGGGGGAUAACUACUGGAAACGGUGGCUAAUACCGCAUAACGUCGCAAGACCAAAGAGGGGGACCUUCGGGCCUCUUGCCAUCAGAUGUGCCCAGAUGGGAUUAGCUUGUUGGUGAGGUAACGGCUCACCAAGGCGACGAUCCCUAGCUGGUCUGAGAGGAUGACCAGCCACACUGGAACUGAGACACGGUCCAGACUCCUACGGGAGGCAGCAGUGGGGAAUAUUGCACAAUGGGCGCAAGCCUGAUGCAGCCAUGCCGCGUGUAUGAAGAAGGCCUUCGGGUUGUAAAGUACUUUCAGCGGGGAGGAAGGUGUUGUGGUUAAUAACCACAGCAAUUGACGUUACCCGCAGAAGAAGCACCGGCUAACUCCGUGCCAGCAGCCGCGGUAAUACGGAGGGUGCAAGCGUUAAUCGGAAUUACUGGGCGUAAAGCGCACGCAGGCGGUCUGUCAAGUCGGAUGUGAAAUCCCCGGGCUCAACCUGGGAACUGCAUUCGAAACUGGCAGGCUUGAGUCUUGUAGAGGGGGGUAGAAUUCCAGGUGUAGCGGUGAAAUGCGUAGRGAUCUGGAGGAAUACCGGUGGCGAAGGCGGCCCCCUGGACAAAGACUGACGCUCAGGUGCGAAAGCGUGGGGAGCAAACAGGAUUAGAUACCCUGGUAGUCCACGCCGUAAACGAUGUCUACUUGGAGGUUGUGCCCUUGAGGCGUGGCUUCCGGAGCUAACGCGUUAAGUAGACCGCCUGGGGAGUACGGCCGCAAGGUUAAAACUCAAAUGAAUUGACGGGGGCCCGCACAAGCGGUGGAGCAUGUGGUUUAAUUCGAUGCAACGCGAAGAACCUUACCUGGUCUUGACAUCCACAGAACUUUCCAGAGAUGGAUUGGUGCCUUCGGGAACUGUGAGACAGGUGCUGCAUGGCUGUCGUCAGCUCGUGUUGUGAAAUGUUGGGUUAAGUCCCGCAACGAGCGCAACCCUUAUCCUUUGUUGCCAGCGGUCCGGCCGGGAACUCAAAGGAGACUGCCAGUGAUAAACUGGAGGAAGGUGGGGAUGACGUCAAGUCAUCAUGGCCCUUACGACCAGGGCUACACACGUGCUACAAUGGCGCAUACAAAGAGAAGCGACCUCGCGAGAGCAAGCGGACCUCAUAAAGUGCGUCGUAGUCCGGAUUGGAGUCUGCAACUCGACUCCAUGAAGUCGGAAUCGCUAGUAAUCGUGGAUCAGAAUGCCACGGUGAAUACGUUCCCGGGCCUUGUACACACCGCCCGUCACACCAUGGGAGUGGGUUGCAAAAGAAGUAGGUAGCUUAACCUUCGGGAGGGCGCUUACCACUUUGUGAUUCAUGACUGGGGUGAAGUCGUAACAAGGUAACCGUAGGGGAACCUGCGGUUG